CCCCCUUCCUACCUUAGCGGCAGGGUUCAAUUAGUGCCGGCGGCGGCAAGCACCCGCAGCCCCGCUCAGCCCGGGAGCCGGAGCCUCUAUCAGCACACACCAACAACACGCAAGGCUGAGUCCAACUAGCGAACUGACGUCAAGACCCCAUCAGAAAAAAAAAAAACACUCAAACCACCAAUGCUGAGCAAGGUCGGCCAGGGGUCAGGCACAGCUCACGGAUACGAGACGGAUAUCGAUUUGCUGGGACAGGCCAGUUGUGGUUCUUGAGAAGGCGAGCAGUGUGCUGGGGUGUCCUCUGGAUACGGUGGAGGUGGUGGUAGACAUGAUGA
ensembl:lncRNA